rnacentral:rRNA from 1 species
GACGAACGCUGGCGCCGUGCUUAACACAUGCAAGUCGUACGGUAAGGCCCUUUCGGGGGUACACGAGUGGCGAACGGGUGAGUAACACGUGAGUAACCUGCCCACAACUUUGGGAUAACGCUAGGAAACUGGUGCUAAUACUGGAUAUGUGCCCCUGCUGCAUGGUGGGGGUUGGAAAGCUCCGGCGGUUGUGGAUGGACUCGCGGCCUAUCAGCUUGUUGGUGGGGUAGUGGCCUACCAAGGCGGCGACGGGUAGCCGGCCUGAGAGGGUGACCGGCCACAUUGGGACUGAGAUACGGCCCAGACUCCUACGGGAGGCAGCAGUGGGGAAUAUUGCACAAUGGGCGCAAGCCUGAUGCAGCAACGCCGCGUGCGGGAUGACGGCCUUCGGGUUGUAAACCGCUUUCAGCAGGGACGAAGCUUUUUGUGACGGUACCUGCAGAAGAAGCACCGGCUAACUACGUG